rnacentral:lncRNA from 1 species
CUGUCUGCCAACAUUUAUCGGAGUCUAUGGUUUUACGCCAAUGCGCUACGUAAGCAUGCAUAGCAAAAGCGAAAAGUUAUUAUACUUCGUAAAAUUCAGUCAUUAUUCAGCACGACUUUUGGGAAAUUUUUUAAUAAUCGAUAGAGCAAUAUAAGAUUUUCACCAGAAAACUCGACUUUGAAAUUUUAACAGUCCAAAUCUAUAAAGUUCUCUUCAAGGCUGAAAUAUUAAGUUUAGUUAUGAGAAAAUUACCAAAAUAGCAUCAUUUUAUCAUAUUGCAAAAUGUUCCCCAGUGCAGUCAAUUUUCACUAUGCUAGUUUUCUCUUCAUUAUAACACCCACGCCUUUUGAACAAUCCCUAAUGUUUCUAUUUAAUAGGUGGGAAUGAGGUUAAAAAAAUCGGUGAUCCGGGUCAUGGGGGACAUUGGCCGAUUCAGAUAAGGAAUCGAUCGAGG